UAUCCGGAGGGACAUGAGAAAAGCUGCAGCACCCCACAGCCAGAACAGCAGCUGCCCGCUCAUACCUGCAAUCCAUGCCUCCUCAAGCCCUUGCUUUGAUACCCCUGCCCUUACCCCUGAUUUCUGUCAACUAGUAGCAGGGCUAGCCUCCUGGGAAAUCUGAGAUACAUAUACCCCACAGCUGACCCUGGAGGCUGGCAAAAGAUUUUCCCCUGAAGGAAAUAUUUGGACACGGGGGUUCAGACAUCUCCCCCACUUGUCUCCUAGGGGCGAGAAGCGGGACUGUCUCCAUGGGUGUCGGGAAGGACUUGGGACAUAAAAUGGUAUUUAUCUGACCAGAGCCUGCUGCUGCAGGCCAGACUAGACCCUCCCUAAAGGGGCCCUAGCUAUCCCUGCUGCUGCCCGCUGGACUAAGCUACUCUCCCUGCUUCUCUGCUGGCACCUCCCAACACCAGCCCGGGCACCAGAAAAUCUCACACCUGUUCCAGCCUGGAUCCAUGCAUCUCACGUCAAGCCUACACCUCCACAGGACAACCCAGGACCAUCCAAAUGAAAGUUUCAGCGUACCCAAAAUCCUCUCGCCUCUUGGGAGGAUACUGAGCAAACCCCUGGAAACUUUUAUCCUGUAUGCAAAUAUUCUGAAUGAUAUGUUU